rnacentral:lncRNA from 1 species
AUGCCCACAGCCACCACUGCUCCACACUCCCCCACGUUCUCCACCCAGGGCCACCGGCUUACACUUGUCCAAAUUCACAGCUAUUUACAAGGUCGUGGUGACGUACGUAAGUCCAGGUCCUCCCUCAUUUGCUCACCUCUGCACCCACCUCGAGCACGCCUGUGCUCCGGGCAGGGGGAAACCCCCGUGCGCGUGUCACCCGCAGGCCCUCUCCACUUGGUUCAGAGCUCGGGACCACGUGGCCCGAUGGUGAAGUACAGGGGCCCUGCGGUGGACUCUCGGCCUGGCCACCAACUGGCCAUGCAGCUUCCUAACCUCCCGUGCCUCCGUUUCCCCGCUUGUGAACUGGAGGAAAUAACUGUACCCCCUCCGGGCUCAUCAGAGGGAGCGAAGGGGUUAACGCACACGGAGAGCGCCCUGCUUGUCAGGAAGGCAUCAGCAGGAGCAGAAGUGUGUGGUUCAAGGUCAGCUUCACUGUCCCGGAGACUAGGCUCCCCGCCUUGGCGCCCUCCAGAGGUGGGGGGUGUCCCCCAGAGAUGGGCUCCUCCGGCAGUGGGGCCGCGGCAGGUGGCUCCGUCCCGAGGCCCGAGACCCUGGGAGCGGGAAGGCGCCGGCCCCAGCCCCAGGGCCCGCCCGCCCUCACCUGCUCGGCCAGGUGCCCACCAGGGCCGGCAGGGGGCAGCAGCGCCCCGCCCUGCCCCAGCAGGCAACUGGGCGGGCGGGGAGGGGCUGGGCAGCCCGGCAGGCCCCGCCAGGAUAAGUCGGGUUGGGCGCGAUUGCAUUGUGGGGAGGGAGGCCGGGGCUGCGCCGGGCCGCACUUCUGGCACUGCCAGCUGCUCCUCACCCCUGCCAGCGGCCCACCCAGGUAGGCAGGGGCUGGGCUGGCGGGGGCGCGGGGGGCCGGGGCCGCCGCGUCGCGGGGCACCGCCACGGGCCGUGCUGGGACCUGGGAGAAGCCAGGGGUCUGCAGAGCCGCCUCGCCCGACAGGGCAAAGGCCCUCGGGCACCAGCCAGAGCCCCGGGACGACAGCCCCCGAUGCCUCAGGGGCCCGGUACCCCUCCAGGCGGUGGCCCUGGAGCUGGGGGAGGACCCCUGGCUUCUAA